UAUCGAUUGGCCAUCACACUUUUCUGACAAAUUUUAGAAUCAAUAACUCAUUUUUGGUUUUAUUUGAAGAAUAAUGUAACAAUGAAAACAAAUUCAUAUUAAUAUGAAUAACCAUCCUUCCUUCAGAAAAAACAAAGAUUAACAAAUGACACACAUUUUCAUUGUACAGCUGCUCGAAUAUUGGCAUUGUUUGAAAACGUGUUCAAAGAAAGUGUUGCAUAGGAUUAAACUGAAGACAACAGUCAUUAUCGAUAUGAUCAACGGUACUCACAUAGCACUUAAAUGCGGAAUUCGAACAAGACUACCAGCAAACAUGUGGAACUAAUGCACCUGUGAUAGAAAAACCGAUGCUAGGUGGCACUGACGAUUUAAGUGGCUAAUCCAAACACAAUAUCAUUGCAUUCCUAUAAGCUAGUUAAUAUGGAUCGGCAAAUACAAUCUUGCGCAGGCCACUGUAAAGAAGCCAUAGCCGGUUUGCCUUGAAAUGUACAACUCUGCCAAGAGACAACUAGAAACAAUGAAAGGGUGAACACAGAACAGAACCCAGUAACUAAAGAGCUUCCUUGUUAUCCGAGUACAAAAUAGGCCCAACCAGCUUCCUUAGCUUCAGAGAAAUUGUUUAAAAAAAACAAAGAAACAAGAGAAACAAACUGGACGUCAAUAAAAACAGCUUCUUUGAAAGUACAAUAAAUGCAUCAAGUAAUUAUACCCGUCACUCAACGGUGAGGGCAUCGAAACAUACUUUAUCAAUUGUGUCUGAACAUACCAUGUGAAGAUAGUUAUUGUACGUUCUUUAAGUGCUUUAGGUAUUGUGUUUAAUCUUACCUAAUAUGCAGCAAAAACAAUAUUAAAAAGAGGCAUUAUCAGAAUGCCGUUUCCUUUUUUUACAUCUAGCGAAAUGAUAUUGCAAUACUCUUGUUUUAUUUUCUUCUGUUACAAAGAAACCCCCUUGUAAGAAAUGCAGUAAUAUGAAACAAGCACUUUUCUUCAUCUCCUCCUGGACAGAAGGACUUCAUCCACGAGUCUCAUGACCAUAAGUUUGGGGAGGGGGGGGGGAUACUGGGAUCACACCAGUAACGAUCCAACGAAAGGCGUCUCAAAGAACCAAGCAGCCAGAUAAAAAAAUAACAAAAAACACAACUGAGGUAAUAAUGUCCUUGGACACUUAACACUAGAUCUACGAACUAAGUGGAACUUGACGCACAACUUUAGAAAAUGAUUUUUGUCGCAGGUCAUCGUGCACACGGCGGUCGAAGCGACUGCGGUGUGACGACGACUGAUGGACACACGCGGGUGUGUUGAAAUAAAAAUAAUAUAGAGAAGCAUUCGGGGUCUUCGCUUCCUCCUCGUCCUCCCACCGGCCAGGGGGACCGUGUAAGGGGCCCAGACGCGAGAGAGGCGGGCGGGCGGGCGGGCGGUCUCCGGUAGCAGCCCUACUGCAGACCCAGCUGCGUGGUGGUGGGCGAGGCGACCGGACCGGGGCAGCCAGAGACGGGGGACACCGUCAGGCCCCGGAAGAGGAGAUCCAUGGAGGGCAGCAGGGGCUUGAGGAGGCUGACGGGGCAGAAGGCAGAGCCACCGUGGGGGGUGAAGUUGACCUUGUUGGGGUCGGGGCAGCUGGCUUGUGCGACGGGCUCCCCCGUUGACGCAGACCUGGUGACGGAGGGAUGGAGAGAGAGUGGGAGUCGGAGGAGUGGGGAGAGAGAGGGGGAGGGAG
ensembl:lncRNA